GGCAGCUCGAUGCGGAGGCAUACACCACACAGCACACACACAAACACAUAAAAUUAGCCGAUACAGUUAUACUAAUUAUUCGAGCUACUUACUAAUCGUUCGUCCAACCCGAACCAAACCAGCAUUAACCAGCAAACCAGAGACUGCACUGCUGCGUGUAUCGUCAGUGCUUGACGCCGAGCGGCAUGAUGGGUCCCAUGCCCUCCUGCGCGGCAACGGGCAUGGACUCGAGCUUGCAGUCGAGCGGCGGCAGCAGUGCGGCCUCCUCCACGCGCGCCCUCCCGACGAGGCGCAGCAGCGUCUCCUCCAGCUCGGCGCCGUCGGCCCAGGGGUGCACCUCCGCCUGCAGCCGCGCGGGGUCCUCGCAGAUGAGGUCCCACACGGGGAAGCCCCUGCGCGGCAUGACGAAGUCCUCCCUUGCCAGCCGCAGCGCCG
rnacentral:misc_RNA from 1 species